AGGACAGAGUGAGAGUGAGAGCAGGCGUGAAAGAGCAAGACACAGAGAGAGAGAGAGAGAGAGAGAGAGACAGAGAGAGAGACAAGGGGGGGUGGGGGAGAGAGAGAGAGAGAGAGAGAGAGAAAUUAAAUCAGCCCUCAGGAACUCUAGCCCCUCACCUACCAUUUGACUGCAACUUCAUCUCUCCUAUACCUUUUCCGACCUGGCUGGAGUCAUCCUCACAACUGCUGAUACUCUCCUAAUUCCCCACUAGCUGGCUUCACAUCGAUGAUCAGGCACCCGUCAUAAUGACUAAUCGUGCUGCUCACUGCCUGUCGGAUGUUCAUCCAAGUCUUCCCCUGCCAUUCACAGAAUUCACGCUACAGCAUCUGGUCACCAUUACAACGUGCAAGCCAAGCUUGCAUGCUUUGACGCACAAGCCACCAUGUUGAAGAGGAUCAUGGAGUCAAGAACUGACUGUGGCUGAAGGCCAAUAGCCAUCAAGAAACUGAGGACCUCAGUCCAAUGACCCAUAGAAACGGGAACCUGCCAACAACCAUCCAUUGAGCAACACCUCAGAUGAAACCUUAAUUGCAACCGGCAAGAAAUCUUAAAGCAGUGGAUCCAAGCAAAGCCUGCCUGCAUUCCUGACCUACAGAACUUGUGAGAUAAUGGAUGUAGGUUGUUUUAAACAGCUAAAUUUUGUGAUAGUACGUUACACAUUAAUAGGUACCUAACACAAUAACAAUCAAACAAAUUAAUAAGAAUUCAAUAUCAUAGAUAUCUUAUUCUUUUAAUAAGAAUUAGAUAUUCUACAUUUUAGCAAAAGGUAUCAGUUGCUUAUGAUCAUAUGUGUGUGAAGGGACAAAGUGUCUUAGUGGCCCACUGGAAGUAAGAAUAGUUCCCUGAACUACAAUAAAUGCCAUAAUCAGUGUGGUUUCAAUUGCAAUACGAUAUUCCAAAAAGGACAUUUCAUAAAGUUUUACAAUUUUGUUUUGGUGAAAAAUUUAUUGCUUAUCAGCUUAUCUCACAGAUAUACUUCUUUUCUGCAUAUUUACGACUGUGAAUAUAGAAAAUGUAUUUCAACUGACAGUACGGUUGAAUUAAAAAUAGUUUACUCAGUGUCACAAAAUAAUGGAGGUUAUCCAAUUGAGAAACCUCAAUAAUUGAUCAAUGUGUUAAUGGUACACAUUAAUGCUUUUUGUAUUUCUUUAUUAUUGGGGGUAAAAGCUACAGAAACACACUGGCCAUUAGAAAGUCAGAAGUCAACUGAGAAAAGCUCUCAGGUUUAUAUACAUAAUUCUUAUGGCAAAAAUAACUUUUGGAGGAGUUAUUUGUUUCAUUUGUUCACAUUUACUGGUGUGCUCCUAUUUAAUCAAUACAGUAAGAUUAAUAUGACAUAAAUGGAACUUUUGAAAUGUAAGGUAGUUUUUCAAUCUAUCAUAAAAUAUUUGUGGUAAUCAGAGCCCCUGAUGGAAUAUUACUAUUGUAUUUUCAAUUUUUUAAAAGAUGACUAGACUUCUUCUCAAGAUUGUGCAGUAUGCUAUUUGCAACACAUUGAGGACACAGCCCUCUGAGAGAUGUAAUCCAAACCGACUGCUUCAGAAACAUACUAGUAACUGAUUUGAGUGUCAUUGUCAUUAUCUAGGAUAAUUCUAGAGUACUUCCAUAUAGAAAAAAAUGUUAAAUAAUGCAAUAUAAUGAUUUUCAUUCCAUUCCUACUGAAGGUACCUCUUUCUUAAGAGAAAAAAAAAUGGAUAACUGAAGUGCAAAUCAGCCAUAGGGAAUAUGUGGAGAGUAUCAGCACUGCCUGUAGCU
rnacentral:antisense_RNA from 1 species